rfam:Pan troglodytes isolate Yerkes chimp pedigree #C0471 (Clint) chromosome 16, whole genome shotgun sequence.
GCUGGGCAUGGUAGCGUGUACCUGUAAUCCCAGCUACUUGGGAGGCUGAGGCAGGAGGAUUGCUUGAACCCAGGGGGCGGAGGUUGCAGUGAGCUGAGAUCGAGCCACUGCACUCCAGCCUGGGUGACAGAGCGAAACUCUGUCUCCA